rnacentral:rRNA from 1 species
CCUACGGGCGGCAGCAGUGGGGAAUAUUGGACAAUGGGCGAAAGCCUGAUCCAGCCAUGCCGCGUGUGUGAAGAAGGCCUUCGGGUUGUAAAGCACUUUCAGUGGGGAAGAAAGCCUUGGGGCUAAUACCCUCGAGGAAGGACAUCACCCACAGAAGAAGCACCGGCUAACUCCGUGCCAGCAGCCGCGGUAAUACGGAGGGUGCGAGCGUUAAUCGGAAUUACUGGGCGUAAAGCGCGCGUAGGCGGUCUGAUAAGCCGGUUGUGAAAGCCCCGGGCUCAACCUGGGAACGGCAUCCGGAACUGUCAGGCUAGAGUGCGGGAGAGGAAGGUAGAAUUCCCGGUGUAGCGGUGAAAUGCGUAGAGAUCGGGAGGAAUACCAGUGGCGAAGGCGGCCUUCUGGACUGACACUGACGCUGAGGUGCGAAAGCGUGGGUAGCAAACAGGAUUAGAUACCCCUGUAGUC